rnacentral:rRNA from 1 species
UACAGAGGGUGCGAGCGUUGUCCGGAAUCACUGGGCGUAAAGGGCGCGUAGGCGGCCCGGUAAGGUUGCGGUGAAAGCCCGGGGCUCAACUCCGAGUCGGCCGUGCGAACUGGGCUCACUGGAGCAUAGUAGAGGCAGGUGGAAUCCGGGUGUAGCGGUGGAAUGCGUAGAUAUCAGGAGGAACACCGGUGGCGAAGGCGGGUCUCUGGGCAGUAACUGACGCUGAGGAGCGAAAGCGUGGGGGAGCGAACAGG